AGUGAACGCUGGCGGUAGGCCUAACACAUGCAAGUCGAACGGCAGCACAGUAAGAGCUUGCUCUUACGGGUGGCGAGUGGCGGACGAGUGAGGAAUACAUCGGAAUCUACUUUUUCGUGGGGGAUAGCGUAGGGAAACUUACGCUAAUACCGCAUACGACCUACGGGUGAAAGCAGGGGAUCUUCGGACCUUGCGCGAUUGAAUGAGCCGAUGUCGGAUUAGCUAGUUUGCGGGGUAAAGGCCCACCAAGGCGACGAUCCGUAGCUGGUCUGAGAGGAUGAUCAGCCACACUGGAACUGAGACACGGUCCAGACUCCUACGGGAGGCAGCAGUGGGGAAUAUUGGACAAUGGGCGCAAGCCUGAUCCAGCCAUACCGCGUGGGUGAAGAAGGCCUUCGGGUUGUAAAGCCCUUUUGUUGGGAAAGAAAAGCAGCAGGUUAAUACCCCGCUGUUCUGACGGUACCCAAAGAAUAAGCACCGGCUAACUUCGUG
rnacentral:rRNA from 1 species